GACAUCCCGGAGACCCUUAGGGAAACUAGGGGGUGCUUCCAUCUGGAAGAAUCUGGAGACAGGUGCUGCAUGGCUGUCGUCAGCUCGUGUCGUGAGAUGUUGGGUUAAGUCCCGCAACGAGCGCAACCCUUGCCUUUAGUUGCCAGCAGUUCGGCUGGGCACUCUAAAGGGACUGCCGGUGUUAAACCGGAGGAAGGUGGGGAUGACGUCAAGUCCUCAUGGCCUUUAUGACCAGGGCUACACACGUACUACAAUGGCCGAUACAAAGGGCAGCGACACUGCGAGGUGAAGCCAAUACCCGUAAAAUCGGUCUCAGUCCGGAUUGGAGUCUGCAACUCGACUCCAUGAAGUUGGAAUCGCUAGUAAUCGUGGAUCAGCAUGCCACGGUGAAUACGUUCCCGGCCUU
rnacentral:rRNA from 1 species